GUACGUGUGGCCGAGUGGUCGAAGGCAGUAGACUGUUAAUCUACCGUGGCGAAAGCCCCAUCGAAGGUUCGAACCCUUCCGCGUGCG
rnacentral:tRNA from 1 species